GGCUAACGCUGGCGGCGUGUCUUAGCCAUGCAAGUCGAGCGGACUUAUGGGGUAACUUAUAAGUCAGCGGCGGACGGCGGAGUAACACGUAGCUAACCUACCCUCUGGACGGGGAUAACCUACCGAAAGGUGGGCUAAUACCCGAUGUAGUCAUCCUGUAUAGGGGUGAUGAAAGGUGGGCUUCUGUUUACAAGCUCAUGCUGGAGGAGGGGGCUGCGGCCUAUCAGGUAGUUGGUAGGGUAAUAGCCUACCAAGCCGAUGACGGGUAGCCGGCCUGAGAGGGUGACCGGCCCGAGGGGCACUGAGAUACGGGUCCCACUCCUACGGGAGGCAGCAGGCUAGAAAUUUGGGCAAUGGGGGAAACCCUGACCCAGUGACGCCGCGUGCAGGAAGGAGCCCUUCGGGGUGUAAACUGCUGUCGUGUAGGGAGAAGGGUACUAAGGUGAACAAUCUUAGUACUUGACGGUACUACAGGAGGAAGCCCAGGCUAACCUCGUGCCAGCAGCCGCGGUAAGCAUACUCGUA
rnacentral:rRNA from 1 species